rnacentral:lncRNA from 1 species
GGUAGCUGGAGUUUUGGACAGGGGGCAGAGGGACAGACGCAUUGAGAAGGUGGCCUCAGCAAGGAGAAAGAAACUGAGCCAUGGAGAUCCAGCCUGGUAGCCAAAGUCACACAGCUCAUAAAUGGAAGAACAAAGUCAAGCAGCCCAGAAUCUUGAAGUAAAAAUACGUGGCAGACGCACUACAGCAAAGGGAUGACAAAAAUAUCACCGUCUAUUGCAGAGAAGGGUGACUUGCAAGGAGCGUGGCAGACGGGUAUGCUCCUAGGAGUGAGCUCUCUGGAUAAUAUAAUAUGUUUCCACUUUUUGAUGUACUAUCAAAUUGUCUUCCACGGUGACUGCACCAUUUUAUAAUCCUACCAGAGUUUUUUUAAAAGUUCCAGUUUAUCCAUAUCCUCAGCAACAUUUGUUAUUUCCAAGUUUUUUUGAAUGACAAAACUAUUCUAGUGUGUGAGUUUUCAAGGUGGUUUUGAUUUGCUUUUUCCUAAUUACUAAUGAUGUGAAGUAUCUUCGUGUACUCCUUUGCUCUUUGUAUGUCUUCAGAGACACAUAAAAUCCACUUUUUAAUUGGUUUAUUUAUUGUAAUUGUGUCUUUUGUUGUUGAGCUCUUUAUGUAUUCUAUUGAAAAUUUUUAAAUACAGUGGGCCCUUGACUUACCAACUCAAUUCAUUCUCAAGGGCUGGUUGUAACUCAAGUUGGUCAACUGAAGGCUCAGGCUCCUCUAUGCAGACUUCAAAGUUUCUCUCUUGUAUCCAGGC